UCAACUGGACAAUAUGGAGAUAUUUGCAUCUUGAAAGCCGGACUACAAAUGUGAAUAGACAGGGAGAAACACAGGCAAGCCUAAGACGUGGUAAGAUACAUAUUCCUCACUAUAUGAAGUGACUGAUAACAAGAUCUGUAUAAUGGAUUGUAAAGAUAUUCGUCAGGUUUUUAUUUUGUAGACAAUCAAUCUGUAUUUAUAGCGUGAUGUGAUGACAGUGCAAUGAUGUGUGUUGCAUCAUUGGAAAGCUCUGCUUAAAUAUGCGUGGCAUUUCUGUGCGAGCCUGCAUUCGCGAGUAAUUCAUCCAAGAGUAAUGUGUGUGCAGAGCUGCAUGAAAGCUCUGUUAUACAUAAUUUUAGUGUAAUUUUAUCAUUUUUUUUCGCUGUGAAAACAUUGGACUACCAACAAGUGCUUGGUCUUGUCAGAAAGCUAUGAUUCUGCUGUUUCACGUGAUAUGCGUGGAUUAUCGCUAUGACGCACGGUCGCGGAAAAUCAAUAGAGAAGAACAGGUGUGAAUUUGGACGCACUAUGCGUCGUUGGGGCCCAUAGGGUUAGACAGUGGAUCCCCUAAACCCCCCAAACUGAACCCAUCGUAAUGGGCUUUAAAAACCCAUCCAAAGCAGGCUUUUUGUCCCAGUUUGGAUGACAAAAACAGGGUCUCUUAUAUAGUUUGAGUGAGCAAAUAUAUGUAGUUUAGGAAACUGAUAUGUAUAUAUUGCUACUACAAGGAGUAGUACAAAUCUGUAUGGUAUUGUGGUAUCAUCAUGAGACGAUUGUUUGAUAGAGCGUACAGGUGAAAUUUGUUUGAAAGUUUCUUUUACCAGAUAUUUUUGGUUUGGUUUGUUCAGAUAGUCAUCGAUCACUGGUCAGUGUAUUUUAUAAACUAGAUUAAUGUCAGAUGUAAAUAAUGUGAUCCAGUUAUAAGAUCCACUGUUUGUAAAAGGUGUCACACAUAAACAGAAUUUAGCAGUAUAUGGAUGAUACACUGUUUGCCAGUUUUUAAUGACAUGUUGAAAUUAAAAGGUAACUGCGCAGUAUUAUUUAACCUGGA